CCGGGCCGUGCUGCUUAUGGCGGCACUGGAGAGGGGGCGCUGAGCUGUUGGGUAUGAAGUGUAACAGAACAGACUUUACCACCUGAAACUGCUGCUUCAAGUUCAGAUCAGGCAAGGAACAAACCUCGUAACAACUAACAAGACCAAAGAAGAGCACACUUAAGUUGAAGACACAACACUUGAUCUGAAACAAGAAGUUUGUGCCUACUCAACAGCUUUGAAAGAGCACUUCCCAACGCUGCUAGUAGUCUUUGUUUUCUUCAGGGCUGUACUGUGAGAUUGCCCGGUACAGCAGCAGUUGUAUUCUUUAUUAGCUUGGUAGAUCAUUUUCUCUUGCUCUUUUUUUUAAUACUAGCAACUUUCAUCCUUUGAAACGUGUGCUGAAAAGAAGAAUCAGCAAAUACUACUGAAAGUGCAAUAUUCGAUUAUCACUGCGAGAUGAGCUUUGAUCCAAACCUUCUCCACAACAAUGGACAUAAUGGGUACCCUAAUGGUACUUCAGCAGCACUGCGUGAAACUGGGGUUAUUGAAAAACUGUUAACCUCUUACGGAUUUAUUCAGUGUUCAGAACGUCAAGCUAGACUUUUCUUCCACUGUUCACAGUAUAAUGGCAACCUGCAAGACUUAAAAGUAGGAGAUGAUGUUGAAUUUGAAGUAUCAUCGGACCGGCGGACUGGGAAACCCAUUGCUGUUAAACUGGUGAAGAUAAAACAAGAAAUCCUCCCUGAAGAACGAAUGAAUGGACAAGUUGUGUGCGCUGUUCCUCACAACUUAGAGAGUAAAUCUCCAGCUGCCCCGGGUCAGAGUCCAACAGUGAGUGUAUGCUACGAACGUAAUGGGGAAGUGUUUUAUCUGACUUACACGCCUGAAGAUGUCGAAGGGAAUGUUCAGCUGGAAACUGGAGAUAAAAUAAACUUUGUAAUUGAUAACAAUAAACAUACUGGUGCUGUAAGUGCUCGCAACAUUAUGCUGUUGAAAAAGAAACAAGCCCGCUGUCAGGGAGUAGUUUGUGCCAUGAAGGAGGCAUUUGGCUUUAUUGAAAGAGGUGAUGUUGUAAAAGAGAUACUCUUUCACUAUAGUGAAUUUAAGGGUGACUUAGAAACCUUACAGCCUGGUGAUGAUGUGGAAUUCACAAUCAAGGACAGAAAUGGUAAAGAAGUUGCAACAGAUGUCAGACUAUUGCCUCAAGGAACAGUCAUUUUUGAAGAUAUCGGCAUUGAACAUUUUGAAGGAACUGUAACCAAAGUUAUCCCAAAAGUACCCAGUAAAAACCAGAAUGACCCAUUGCCAGGACGCAUCAAAGUUGACUUCGUGAUCCCUAAAGAACUGCCCUUUGGAGACAAAGAUACGAAAUCCAAGGUGACCCUGCUGGAAGGUGACCAUGUUAGGUUUAAUAUUUCAACAGACCGACUCGACAAAUUAGAACGAGCAACCAAUAUAGAGGUUCUGUGAAAUACAUUUCAGUUCACUAAUGAAGCCCGAGAAAUGGGUGUGAUUGCUGCCAUGAGAGAUGGUUUUGGUUUCAUCAAGUGUGUGGAUCGUGAUAUUCGUAUGUUCUUCCACUUCAGUGAAAUUCUGGAUGGGAACCAGCUCCAUAUUGCAGAUGAAGUAGAGUUUACUGUGGUUCCUGAUAUGCUCUCUGCUCAAAGAAAUCAUGCUAUUAGGAUUAAAAAACUUCCCAAGGGCACGGUUUCAUUUCAUUCCCAUUCAGAUCACCGUUUUCUGGACACGGUAGAAAAAGAAGCCACUUUUUCCAAUCCUAAAACCACUAGCCCAAAUAAAGGCAAAGAGAAGGAGGCGGAGGAUGGCAUUAUUGCUUAUGAUGACUGUGGGGUGAAACUGACUAUUGCUUUUCAAGCCAAGGAUGUGGAAGGAUCUACUUCUCCUCAAAUAGGAGAUAAGGUUGAAUUUAGUAUUAGUGACAAACAGAGGCCUGGACAGCAGGUUGCAACUUGUGUGCGACUUUUAGGUCGUAAUUCUAACUCAAAGAGGCUCUUGGGUUAUGUGGCAACUCUGAAGGAUAAUUUUGGAUUUAUUGAAACAGCCAAUCAUGAUAAGGAAAUCUUUUUCCAUUACAGUGAGUUCUCUGGUGAUGUUGAUAGCCUGGAACUGGGGGACAUGGUCGAGUAUAGCUUGUCCAAAGGCAAAGGCAACAAAGUCAGUGCAGAAAAAGUGAACAAAACACACUCAGUGAAUGGCAUUACUGAGGAAGCUGAUCCCACCAUUUACUCUGGCAAAGUAAUUCGCCCCCUGAGGAGUGUUGAUCCAACACAGACUGAGUACCAAGGAAUGAUUGAGAUUGUGGAGGAGGGCGAUAUGAAAGGUGAGGUCUAUCCAUUUGGCAUCGUUGGGAUGGCCAACAAAGGGGAUUGCCUGCAGAAAGGGGAGAGCGUCAAGUUCCAAUUGUGUGUCCUGGGCCAGAAUGCACAAACUAUGGCUUACAACAUCACACCCCUGCGUAGGGCCACAGUGGAAUGUGUGAAAGAUCAGUUUGGCUUCAUUAACUAUGAAGUAGGAGAUAGCAAGAAGCUCUUUUUCCAUGUGAAAGAAGUUCAGGAUGGCGUUGAGCUACAGGCAGGAGAUGAGGUGGAGUUCUCAGUGAUUCUUAAUCAGCGCACUGGCAAGUGCAGCGCCUGUGAUGUUUGGCGAGUCUGUGAGGGCCCCAAGGCUGUUGCAGCUCCUCGACCUGAUCGGUUGGUCAAUCGCUUGAAGAACAUCACUCUGGAUGAUGCUAGUGCUCCUCGCCUAAUGGUUCUUCGUCAGCCAAGGGGACCAGAUAACUCAAUGGGGUUUGGUGCAGAAAGAAAGAUCCGUCAAGCUGGUGUCAUUGACUAACCACAUCCACAAAGCACAUCAUUAAUCCACUAUGAUCAAGUUGGGGGGAAUCUGGUGAAGGGUUCUGAAUAUCUCCUUCUUCAUCCCUCCCGAAAUCUGAAAUACUUAUUCUAUUGAGCUAUUACACCAGUUUUAACACCUUCCUCGUGUUAUGUUUAAAAAAAUAAAUAAAUUUAAGAAAACCAUUUUAAAAUAAUGCACAGUUGCAGCCUGGAAAACUUAAGGUGGCGCCUUAUAGUAUCAAUUUUAGGAGCUUUAUUUGGUGCAUUUAACGCAACUGGUAAUUGCAAAAUCCACUUCGCCUGUGUUAAGUGAAAAAUAUAGACUGUUAUCUUGUUGGCCCUAUGAAAUUCUGCACUUUUCAUUAUAUACUGUACCUUCAUUAAUUACUUCUGGCAAGAUGUUCUGCCUUAGCACUCAGUUGCAUUCUUUUUCUUUUUCUUCCUGUUCAUUAUGCUUUAAUUCUGAGGACCAUAUGAGGGUAGAAUAUAUUAUCUUUUAAAAAUUACAAAGAUUUGUAUAGGCAAACCAUUUCUUAAAGUUGAUGGCCAAAUUUUAAAAUGUUAUUUUUCAUAUCAUUUAUAAUCUUGUCACAAUCCACUUAACGAAGUUUGGUUAUAUUUCAGUGAAAAUUAUCUUACAGAGUAGGUUUUUUUUCGUGGGUUGGGGGGUAACUUUACUACAAUUAGUAAGUACGGUGCAGAAUUUCAUGCAAAUGAGGAGUGCCAGCAGUGUGAUAAUUUAAACAUAUUUAAACAAAAACAACAACAAAAAAAUGAA